GGCUAUAUAACAGCAUUUUUUGAAGAAAAGUAUUUUUCAUCUCAAGCUUCCAGGUGCAGUUGAAGAUUGUGAAAAGGCAACAUUUUCUUACCAGAACUAUAAAGAUUACAUGAAUGAAAUGUGCAAAGAAGAAAGAUAUCCUGAUCAAGAGGGAAUCCAGCAAUGUAUCGGUGAGAAAUUUGCAGCAGCUCAAGUGGAUCUAGAAUCGGCACUUACUGAAAUGAAAAACAACUGUUUGUGAAGACCUUCAACGGAUCACGUCACAUCUGAUGAAGACCAGUAUCUAUAUAUUACCUAUAAUAUAAUAAUCUGAAUCUGUCGUGGUUUCCUUCUUUUUGGGAUAUGUUUAACUCUCAAAUAUCUUUAUCUAGAAAAUAAAAUUUUCAUAAAGCAA